rnacentral:rRNA from 1 species
CCUGGCUCAGAUUGAACGCUGGCGGCAUGCUUUACACAUGCAAGUCGAACGGCAGCACGAAAGAGCUUGCUCUUUUGGUGGCGAGUGGCGAACGGGUGAGUAAUACAUUGGAACGUACCGAGUAAUGGGGGAUAACUGUCCGAAAGGAUGGCUAAUACCGCAUACGCUCUGAGGAGGAAAGCGGGGGACCUUCGGGCCUCGCGUUAUUCGAGCGGCCAAUGUCUGAUUAGCUAGUUGGUGGGGUAAAGGCCUACCAAGGCGACGAUCAGUAGUGGGUCUGAGAGGAUGAUCCGCCACACUGGGACUGAGACACGGCCCAGACUCCUACGGGAGGCAGCAGUGGGGAAUUUUGGACAAUGGGCGAAAGCCUGAUCCAGCCAUGCCGCGUGUCUGAAGAAGGCCUUCGGGUUGUAAAGGACUUU